rnacentral:lncRNA from 1 species
UGCAUCCCGAAUAUGACUCUGGAUAUAAAAUGAUGUCAAAUACAAUAUCAUACUCAUAUUUCUCUUAAUUUUAAAUGAUGAUUAGAUUAAUAAAAUAUUAAAAAAAAUUUUAAUUUUUAUUUUGCUUUGAUCAAAGGCUUCUUGAAUCAUCAAUCGAUCAGAGCAAGUAGGAUGCGAUCUCUUCUUAUUAGGAGUGACCGAUUCCAUGUUGACCUACUCACAACCUCCAUACA